UACGUAGGGGGCAAGCGUUGUCCGGAUUCAUUGGGCGUAAAGAGCGUGUAGGCGGCCAGGUAGGUCGGUUGUGAAAACUGGAGGCUCAACCUUCAGAGGUCGACCGAGACCAUCUGGCUAGAGUCCGGGAGAGGAGAGUGGAAUUCCUGGUGUAGCGGUGAAAUGCGCAGAUAUCAGGAAGAACACCCGUGGCGAAAGCGGCUCUCUGGAACGGUACUGACGCUGAGACGCGAAAGCGUGGGGAGCGAACAGG
rnacentral:rRNA from 1 species